rnacentral:rRNA from 1 species
UACAGAGGUCUCAAGCGUUGUUCGGAUUCAUUGGGCGUAAAGGGUGCGUAGGCGGCGCGGUAAGUCGGGUGUGAAAUCUCGGGGCUUAACUCCGAAACUGCAUUCGAUACUGCCGUGCUUGAGGACUGGAGAGGAGACUGGAAUUUACGGUGUAGCGGUGAAAUGCGUAGAUAUCGUAAGGAAGACCAGUGGCGAAGGCGGGAUCUCUGGACAGUUCCUGACGCUGAGGCACGAAGGUCAGGGGGAGCAAACGGG